rnacentral:rRNA from 1 species
AUGCAAGAUUCUAUUCUGUCAACAGGCUUUGAUGUGUCAUCAGCAGCUCUAUUGCAAGUCUCUAGCAUGGACUUGCCCCAGUUCCUUCGGUUCAGAUGUCGUUUCCUAAUUGCUAGAGCUGCAAGGGUACAUAUUUACUUCCUUAUCAUCCUUGAGUCAUGUUAUCUGCGAGGGUACUUAAUUGCUUACGUUUUUGCAAUUUCUAUUUUUGAACCUUUAUAUCUAAUCCUCUCUUUAAUUUUCAGUCAGCUAUUUAUUUUCUUACGCAUGAAAGAACUUUUCUUAAUGCGUGGGUGUUUAUAG